GGCGGAUUUAGAGGGGUUUUCAGGGGCCAGGGCCCCACUUUUCUGGGAUAAAAAUGGUUGAUGAUAUAUGGAAUCACUGAAGCAUGACUGGAGUGGGCCCAUCUUAGGCAGUCAGUGGGCCCCACUUAUGAAAAUGUCUGGAUCCGAAACUUUUAAACAUAGCUGGUUAAACAUGAUGGGACUUGAGAAUGUUUUGGUAGUAAUUGGUGCUUACAAAUACAGCAAAGGACUUGUCUUGUUGCACUAGAAACAAAGUUUUAAAACUAAUUACCAUAAAUCAGUGUUUUAGAAGCACAGAGUGC
rnacentral:lncRNA from 1 species